GACGAACGCUGGCGGCGUGCUUAACACAUGCAAGUCGAACGGAAAGGCCCUGCUUUUGUGGGGUGCUCGAGUGGCGAACGGGUGAGUAACACGUGAGUAACCUGCCCUUGACUUUGGGAUAACUUCAGGAAACUGGGGCUAAUACCGGAUAGGAGCUCCUGCUGCAUGGUGGGGGUUGGAAAGUUUCGGCGGUUGGGGCUGGACUCGCGGCUUAUCAGCUUGUUGGUGGGGUAGUGGCUUACCAAGGCUUUGACGGGUAGCCGGCCUGAGAGGGUGACCGGCCACAUGGGGACUGAGAUACGGCCCAGACUCCUACGGGAGGCAGCAGUGGGGAAUAUUGCACAGUGGGCGGAAGCCUGAUGCAGCAACGCCGCGUGCGGGAUGACGGCCUUCGGGUUGUAAACCGCUUUCGCCUGUGACGAAGCGUGAGUGACGGUAAUGGGUAAAGAAGCACCGGCUAACUACGUG
rnacentral:rRNA from 1 species